rnacentral:rRNA from 1 species
UGGGGAAUAUUGCACAAUGGAGGGAACUCUGAUGCAGCGACGCCGCGUGAGUGAUGAAGGAAUUCGUUUCGUAAAACUCUGUUCUAUGGGAAGAAAAGGACUGUACCAUAGGAGAAAGCUCCGGCUAAAUACGUGCCAGCAGCCGCGGUAAUACGUAUGGAGCGAGCGUUGUCCGGAAUUAUUGGGCGUAAAGGGUGCGCAGGCGGCUUUACAAGUUGGAUGUGAAAUAUUGUGGCUCAACCACAAACGUGCAUCCAAAACUGCAAAGCUUGAGUUAAGGAGAGGUAAGUGGAAUUCCUGGUGUAGCGGUGGAAUGCGUAGAUAUCAGGAGGAAUACCGGUGGCGAAGGCGACUUACUGGACUUGAACUGACGCUCAGGCACGAAAGCGUGGGGAGCAAACAGG